AACGUCACAAACAUCUGUCAUGUCGUAUAUAUUUAUCCGCUGGCCACUGUCGCGAUAGUAGGCGGAGUUUAUAAUUAUUACAUUUUUUAGCUCUAAUAAUGUUCUCGUUCCACUUUUCGAUAUUAUUCUUUGAUAUAUAAUUUCCGUGUUUUGUGCUGUGAUCGUUACGUCGACGGUGAAGUGAAACAAAGGCUGUGCUAAUCGUUGAGUUUCGUAUGAUGUCACAACUAUAUCGCGUGAAUCCUUGAAAAUAUGAGUGUUAGUGUUGAAGCGGACGCGUCCAGCCCUCUAUCGGAGGGUCAGAGCGCGGGGUUGGACCAUACUGGGUCGAAAUCAUCAUCAGAUAGUCCAAGUCUCGAUACGACGACCGAGAAUGGUGAGGCAGGUCAGGACGCCGAGAAAUCGGAGCCGAGCACGCCCAAGCCUCACCCCAUGGCCUUCACGAUCGACUUCGGGGCUUCCAAGCCAGUCGACAAUCGCAGGCUUGAGGAACUGGCGAAAAAAUCGCAAGCACGGCAUCAGAGGGUGCAGUCCAUGUCAGCUGGCUUGACACGACCCAGCCCUACGGCUCAGAAGCCUCCAAUGAGCGCUAAGCUGCCACGAAAAGCCCAAGGAUAUAACUCUGAGGGCUACUUCUCCUCAGACCAGGAAGACAGCUGCUUGUCGGGUUCAGUAAAGCUCCGGAGUAGUCCAUUAGCCCAAUUCAUCACCAGUCCCGUUACAAACAGACAUAUCAAGUCACCCAUCCAUGAUAUUCAGCCUAAGAAAACGUCCAAAAGUCCUAUAGUUGAUAGUAUCAUGUCCAGGAGUGACAACUUCACGUCCCGACAAGGUUUGAAUCUGCCAUUGAAGAGUGUAAAUAGUUCCUACUUGAGAGACGUCCAUAGAACGCCAAGUUAUGGUACCUUGAAUCUAUCUUCUAGUUAUCAACGGCCGAUGCCAAACAUAAUAGACCAGAGUCCUGAAGGGGUGCUAUUAACUGAUAUUUCUAGUCCAGAGUUAGAUAUUUUGACCCCGGAUAAUGGUUUGUCAACUCCAGAGAAAAGUCCACUCCGCAAAGUCCGAGCCCAGUCUGAAACUCCAGAUUUGUUGUUUAAAAAAUGUAAUCCUACAGUUGAGCCUUUGUAUAUUGAUGAUGAGGUUGACGGACAGUCAAAUUCUUCUACCGGUACAUACACUAUUGAAGGAGAUAACUAUACAGAGGAACAGAAAGCUAGAAUGAGCAUAGACAGGACUUUUGGUAGCUCAAUAAAUGAUACGAUUGAGGAAGUCUUCAGGCCGAGUGAAAGAGACCCAGAACUAGUAUUCGACUAUCCGAACAGGGUAAUAACAAAAGAACCUAGAAGAGAUACCUUGCGAAGUCCAAAUCUAAAUGAAACUUUUGAAUUCCCGAAAGUCUCUAAAGACAAAAAUGUUCUAGAAAUCUCAUGUUGCUAUGAAUCACCAUCGGAAACCGAUUUAGCCGUACAAACUUCCAAACAGAUCAAAUCUACUCGUAGUUACUUAGAGAAAAUCAAGAAUCGGGUCCGAACAAUAACAGACAAAACUUUUGCUAAGCCUCCGAAGCAUGGUGAUGAGGGAGAUGUUGGUAGCUUUACCUCAGUCACUACCUCAGGUGUUUUAAGCUCUAAAUAUCUAGCAAAACAAGAAAUCCCUCUCCGUAGACGUUGUAGCCUAACCAAGUCCGAAAUAGAUCAAACAGACUACAUCCACCGAUUGUCCAGAGAAUCCUCAGUACCAGUUUCUUUGCCAAGCAACAAGCCUCUGGAAGCCAAAUUUGAGAGCACUGCCCUUAAAAACGCUCAAAAAGCUUUAAGAGAUGACCAAAUGUCUGACCAAGUAGUGGGACUGUCCUAUUUAAGCUUAAACAGAUGCAAGGGUGACAAGACGUGGAUACAGGACUGGGCGGAGAGUGUUAAGAAGUACAAUAACCACACGUUAGGAAGGAAGGAGGAUUUGAAUGGGACUUUUACUGUGGACGACGAGCGGCCGCCUAUCAGCCCGCAACACGUUAAACCCCGCAGCCCGCAUGGCAGUGCGACCAAGAUCCCCAGCCCUGUGGGGACCUUACUCUACAGACAGACACCGGACCUCAUCCCCAUCCAAGACACCGAAACGUAUCUCCGCAAAACGCAAAAUGCCAUCACCAACCUACAAGCCAAGCUCAACUCUCGCCCCUCCAUUCCCCCCCUACUCACCUCCAGCCUCAUCAGCGAGAAGACCGCCAUCUCCCGUCUUCCAGUUUCGCAACUAAGCCGCUCCAACUCACUCAACUACAGGCUAAGAAGAAAAGAUACUUCAGGGGAUAACAGUCCUUUGAGAAGUCCAGGAAAUUACAUUAUUACUGGCUCAGCUAAAAUUCCAGAAAGCACAAAGAUUUUACUUAACAGCGCUACAAGAUCUUUAGACACAGAUAAACGAAAACGCGACUCUAAUAUGAACAGUCCUUCCUCAGAAAGAGGUUUGUUAAGUAACAGUUCUGAUGAUAAAACUAUAUCAAAUCGUCCGCAAUACGAUGUCGACGCGAUUCUUUCACCGCAUAGAAAACACGUUAGGAACAAAUCUUUAGAUGGCCCGGAUCACUUUAACACUGAUAACAGCAACGCAAAUCUAGUUUGUCUCAAGACGGUAUUGAAGAAUAAUGCUGAGGCAUAUCCGAGAAUCGAUACCCGUUACCAGGGCGACAAGAAACAUCAGAGGGUAGCCAGCGAUGGGAAAAAACCUGGCUAUACUAACUACGCUCCUUUCGGCUCUUCAAUAAAACGAUCAAGCUCUUUCAACACUGUUAAUAAGAAUAACAACUAUUUAGAUCCGCAGAGGAUAACCUCUAGAAGAUCGAGCGGACAUUCAGAGGAAUACAAAGACUAUUUAUCCGAUGAGUCUGACAACGGAUCUUAUGAGAAAUCCCAAGAUAGGUACAAACGCACGCAUCGUGGUAGAAUCGAUUCUCCUGACCUAAAAUCGAUUGCGCCAGCGAAUUCUCCAAAAUGUCCAAAUACUCCAGAGAUGCACAGAAAAUUCGGACCAGGAUUGGUUAGAAAUUCAGUUCGGGUGACGAAUAAGGAACGAAUGAGGGCGUCGGAACCGAGAGAGGUGCAGAAACCAGUCGGUCAUCAGAGUAGAAGGAUAUCGGAGCCGACGAGGCAGGCAGUGCUGAACAGGCUUACUAAGUCUAGGAGUUCGACGAGAGAGUUCCAGCCUAAAGCUCAGGAUAAAGGUCAAAAGAAACCAAGCCAAUACCGAUCAUCCUCUGCACUCGCUUCCAAAGAGGCAGAGUUUAACAAUUGGAAGAAACGAUCGUCAUACGACCCCAUGAAAGCGGCUCAGGAGGGAAGGAGAAAGCAGAUCGCAAAAAGGCAGGAGUUCAACAAGGACGACCUUAGUUCUCCCAGCCACUCAUCACCAGUGCACCGCUCGCAAUCCUUCCACACCACAAACAUAGCGGACCUCGAGACCCUCGACUACUCAUCCGAAGAGGACCCCAUGACCCUGCCGAUAGAUCCUAUGAUCACCUCAACACACUCGGAUAUCUUGGACCUCAGGCCGAAGGAAUACCGCGACUUAAGAAGACAGGCGGUCAAUAAUGAUGUGGUCAUGACUAGGGACUACGUCACUAAUUUCCAGGUCAACCAACCCGCAGAAAAGCUCAAACGCAGCGUUCACACAGACAAACGGAAAACCUUCAUCUUAGACGACAUAACACCGACCAAAGAGAACAUAGAUUUCCUCUCCAAAGCCGAAGCUAUAGACAAGCGAAAAACUUUUAUUCUAGACAGCGAUACGUCUACCACUAAUGGCAGUAGUCCAAGGAAUUCGUCCAUAUUUAGCCAUGAGAAGAGUAUGACCACGGGGACGAGUGAUACUGAGGGAGAGAGCGGACCGGAAGAUAGGAGUGCUCCGGUUGUGAUGAGACAGGGAAAGAAGCCGGCGGCACAGGCGAAGCAGCAGAGGUACAGCGGCGAUUUCUCCAUGUCCUCCUCAACCACCUCCCUCAAGAAGCCCGUGGCCCCCCGCUACCUUGACAUCUCCAAGUACAAGUCGGAAAACUCCCCGAAGAAUUUCCUGCGCCGCGACCCGAGCAAGACAUACGUGGCCGUGUUACCCGAGCGGGCGCAGCGAGGAAGCGCACAGCAAAUUGAGAUGGAACAAAAGAAACAAGAAUUAGAAAAGUGGAAACGACGGGCAUCAUACGACCCGCGCAAAGCCGCGGCAUUAGGCAAGUCGCCCGGCACCAAAGCCCCGCCCAAAACCGCCAGAGCGUGACACGUGUCAAUGUGCAUGCAAUACUGCUAGAAGGAAGCCAUCUCGUUUCUGUGAGCAGCGUCCUGCGAUCUCAGUCGUUCCACGGGCCCGUGCUGACGGCGGGCCGCUACCAGCCGCCGCCGCACAUCGCGGAGACAUACGACGCGUCCAGCGACAACGACUUCUAACCAAAUGGCAUAAAGGCUCAUUUCCUUUGAACGUUGCUACUGGCAUGCACUUCCAACUUGCCAGCGGCACUGGCGCCAGUCGCUUGAACGGUGUAAACGAGCCUUCAGUUAGGAGCUAUGUGAUAGUGUGAGUGUAUUUUGAAAUUCGAAACGCAAAGUUUUUUUAUUAGUCGUAGAACGUAUUUUCCAAAGCGAGGUAGCCAUUUUGAACACCGUUGGCGCCAAAUUCAAUCGUGAUUUUUAUUUGAGUUUUUUUUUGCGUAUAAUACAUAUAAUGAUGCGCAAUAAUAAUUAUACAAGUCAUUUUUUAUUUUAUUUGACGAUUAUUUAAGUUUAAGCUGGGGUUGAGGCAAUUUUGUUUAUUUAAAGAUUUACAAAUUGAAUUGAUAUAGGUAUAUUUACAAUUGGUAUUGAUAAUGGAAUUAUUUGAACCAUUUGGUACUACACUAUGGAAAUAUAUUAGGUAAGUACAAUGAUUUAAUUGAGUAUAAAAUAAUUUUGCGAUAUAUUUGAGAUUUGUUCAUUGUAUAAUUGUAUAUCAGAGUUAAUAUUAAAUUAUACAGUGUAUUUCAUUGUUAUAUUACGUACUAUUUAUGCUUUAAAUGUUCAUUUGAUGGAUUCGGAAGUUGAACUAAUCAUAAUCAUCAAUGUGAUUUUAUUAUAAAAUACUAUUAAAUAGUUAUUUACGAUACUAGUGCGAAAAACAGGAAAUUUGCAACGAGUGGCGAAGUUGCGAAUUACCUAUUCGCACGUGUAUCGUACAACGUUUUACAGUACAUAUGGCCCUACGUAGCUACGUAAUGUGCUUACUAUAGCACAGGGUGUCGUAAUGUAGCACCAGAUGUACUGUAAAAAAUAUUAUUCCAUAGUAUUGUAGUACCGUCCUGUUUUGUUGUCAAAGUAUUAAAUCGUUAUAUAUAAUAAUGCAAUUUAAAUAAAAUAAAAAAUUAUAUAUAUUGGCAUCACUUUAAGUUUAGGUAAGAGAUUCUUUUUAUACAUGUUUCAAAAAUAAAUAUGUAGUAGGUUAGGUUUUAGCUCUAUUCAUAAAUUAAUUAUUUUCUAGUAAUGUUGGCUAAUUUUAUUGUUUGAUUAGUUUCAUCAGCAACAUUAUGUAUAGAAUAUAGUUUUUUUUUUUCAGACAGCUUGGGUACGGUGACAGAUGUCAUCGCCAUACAAUUUAUAACCUUAAAAUGCAAAAUCUAGCAAAAUUGUAUUAAGAUAACAUCUGUCACCAUACCGAAGCUGUUUAAGUAGUAUAGUAAUUUGUGGACGCCAACAUAAUCCUCCUAAAGUCCUUCCAAGAAAAAAUGCCAUUUGAAUUUGAAAUCAAUACUUAAAGGAAUAAGGCUCAAUUUCUUUUGUUUCAAUAUUAAGCGAAAUGAAAGAAAUACAACCGUGUUCCAAAUUGAAAUGGUUGAGAUUUCAUUGAAGUAAUUAGUACCAAAGGUAGGACAAUGGGCGUUGGGAGGAUAGUGAAGUUUAAUUUAUGAAUAGAGUUUUGUCCAUUAUUGCUCAUAUCACACAUCGAUGUUGUUUGCAAUUCCUUAUGUAUUAUUUGUUGUAGAAACCUAGUUAAGAUUUUUUUUGUAAGUGCAAUAUUUCAUCACAUUUUUUUCUAUUGAGCAUAAGUACAUAAUGAAAUAAAAAUAGUACCAUUUUUUUUAUCGAGGUUGCUAUUUUUGUAUGUUUCGAUUAAUAUAUUUUAUGCGGUAAAAUACUCAGGUUAUUCAUAAAAUAUUAAAAAUAAUUGUAUAAAAUAGUUGUGGAAAGCUUUACGUAUAAAUAUGUUGCUUUAUAUAAGUGUAGGAAUUUAAUUAUAUUUCCGAGCAAAAUCUUUUUCUCUUACAGAUAUUUUUUUGCUGUUCGUCGCUAAAUUUAAUGUAAUAAAUAAGCUACUCGAAAUUAAGAAAAGUGAUCAUUAUUUGUAAGUAUUAUUCCUGUGUUCAGGCUAACAUGUAUUACUUCAUUUUGUUCAAAAGGCCAAUAUAAUAAUGUAUUAUUGAAAAUGAUCUCUAAUGGUUUUUCUUUCCGUUUAAAAGAUCUGAGUACUUACAAAAUACAAAGUUUUCUGAAUUUGGAGUAGUGAUUUUAGAAUAGUGUUACAUUCUUGGCCUUAUUCGAACAAUGCUUAUAAGAUGUCUCAGCGAUACGACACCGAUCUGUCGGUGUCAAAAGUGACAAUUCUUCAACCAAAAACGUCACUUUUAACACUAACAGCGGUUUCGUAUCGCUGUGAUAUCUUAUAAGCAUUGUUAGAAUUGGGCCGUGACUCCGAAUGAUCAUGUUAAUAUCAGUGUCAGCCACGUAGUAUUUGUAAUAAUUUGAUGUCUAGCAUUUCGUAAAGAAUAAUAUUUAACAGGAAAUUAAUAAUAAAAACUGAAAGUAA